rnacentral:rRNA from 1 species
GAUGAACGCUGACAGAAUGCUUAACACAUGCAAGUCGACUCGAGUCUUCGGACUUGGGUGGCGGACGGGUGAGUAACGCGUAAAGAACUUGCCUCAUAGUCUGGGACAACAUUUGGAAACGGAUGCUAAUACCGGAUAUUAUGCUUUCUUCGCAUGGAGGAAGUAUGAAAGCUAUAUGCGCUAUGAGAGAGCUUUGCGUCCCAUUAGCUAGUUGGUGAGGUAACGGCCCACCAAGGCGAUGAUGGGUAGCCGGCCUGAGAGGGUGAACGGCCACAAGGGGACUGAGACACGGCCCUUACUCCUACGGGAGGCAGCAGUGGGGAAUAUUGGACAAUGGACCAAAAGUCUGAUCCAGCAAUUCUGUGUGCACGAUGACGUUUUUCGGAAUGUAAAGUGCUUUCAGUCGGGAAGAAGCAAGUGACGGUACCGACAGAAGAAGCGACGGCUAAAUACGUGCCAGCAGCCGCGGUAAUACGUAUGUCGCAAGCGUUAUCCGGAUUUAUUGGGCGUAAAGCGCGUCUAGGCGGCAAGGAAAGUCUGAUGUGAAAAUGCGGGGCUCAACUCCGUAUUGCGUUGGAAACUGCCUUACUAGAGUACUGGAGAGGUAGGCGGAACUACAAGUGUAGAGGUGAAAUUCGUAGAUAUUUGUAGGAAUGCCGAUGGGGAAGCCAGCCUACUGGACAGAUACUGACGCUAAAGCGCGAAAGCGUGGGUAGCAAACAGG